CACCAGGGAGAGCAUUUACCCCUAUCUAGAGGAUAUACCAGACCCUGGAGUGAACUGGAUUCCAUGUAGAGACCCCUGGAGGAAGAGUAAAAAGAUGAAUGAGCCUGUUUCCAAAGAGCUUUGCUAUCACUGUCAUUCAGAAUGCAAUCAAUAUGGCCAAUGGAAAUUGUAUAGGACUUGAAAAAGGAAGCCCUACUUCUGGGACCACAUUUUACGACCACCUAGCUGAGUGAUAAAUCACUAAAAUAUAGUAAGUUUGAGGAAAUGUCUAUUGAAUUAGAUUCGGCAACACACCAGUGCAACAAAGACUCAGCUGCCUGGCCAAGGACAACUCUAUCUAUGUCGUGGCUAAUAUUGGGGACAAGAAGCCAUGCAAUGCCAGUGACUCUCAGUGUCCCCCUGAUGGCCGUUACCAAUACAACACUGAUGUGGUGUUUGAUUCUCAGGGAAAACUGUUGGCACGCUACCAUAAGUACAAUCUUUUUGCACCUG
rnacentral:lncRNA from 1 species